AUAUAUUGAAAGGUGAGUUCACUGUUACUACUGUUCAUCAAAGGGAGGAAAAGGCGAUUUUACCCUUACUGUUCGUGGAGAAUAUCAAGCUGGUCUUCUAUAAACCGUGAAUAAAGAAAACGCCUUGAUUUGGUAGUGGAUUCGGGAACCUUCGCAAAAACAAAAAAAAGAAUCACCGACUGAAAGAGAGAGCGAGAGAGAGAGAGAGAGAGAGAGAGAGUUCGGUUCUGCUGUGUUUCUUCGUCUCGCUUAGAUUGAUAGUGAGGGAGGUUGUUGAUCGGCAUAGACAGGUCUCAAUUUUCGUUUGUUUCCAGCUUGGAGGCAUAAAAGAUUGUAUCGGAAUUGCAAAGCUCUGAUUUUUGGUGUGGGUGGAGGCUUUUAAUUAGAAUUGGAGCAGAAUUGGAGUCAGGGGAAGAGUAACAUUUGGGUCUAGGCUUUGAUCAGACCGAGUUUUUUCCUCUCUCUUCCCCCCUCUGCCUCCUAAACCGAACAGCAGCAGCUGCGUGAGGUAAUGAAUUCCUUGCUACGUUUUGGUUGUUUUUGCUUCUCCACUUCGUUGUUUGGUUAGCUUGGUUUAAUAUAGCUUGAGAAAUUUGAUUUGGGUUUGUGAAAGAAUAAAGAUUGAUUCUUUUCUUAUGUAAAUUGAGGGAAUUGAUGGGAAUUUGAAGAAAUGGAUUUUAAAGUUUGCUAGAGCACAGAGCAGAUCUCAGCCAUCACUAUUCACUAAUUAGGUAGCUGUGAAGGGAUUUGCAUAAGAACUUUCAAGCAGGAUUGAGCUCCCAUCUCCUUUAAUCCGGGUUGGAAAGUGAUUGGAACAGCAAGUAGUGCUUAAAAGAAGAGACUUGCAGAAAGUAGAGUUUCACUCAUUUUUCUUUUUAUACUUUGCGUUUCACGGCUUGACUUUGUGUUCUCUUUAUUUGCUUAAUGAGAUUUAGAUAUAUUUUAAUGCCUGUAUUCAUGUAUUAAAGUAGUGCUAGCAGAGUCAUGUGGCAGUUACGAUUACUUUAUUCAUUUUAUUUCCUGUUCUUUUCAUGUUCCUAGACAUUUUUGUUUUUUAUUUUUUGACUUUUCUUUCUCCUUUGGCUUUUGUUUCUGAUUAGAUUCAGUUUGUCUUCAAGUUAGAUUUUAUGCGCAAGGGUAUCUGAUUGAUUGCAGAUAGAGGUUUUACUCUUCUUCUUUUUUGUGUUGGAAGAUUCAGUUUGUCUUCAAGUUAGAUUUUAUGCACAAGGGUGUGCACGUGAUUCUCCUGCCGCUGUUCCUUUGCGUAUUGUUUGGGAUUAUUUCAGUAUUGUAUUCUUCUUUAGAUAGAGGUUUUUCUCUUCUUCUUUUCUGUGUUGGAAGUGUAGUGCCUGCCUGCCUUUGUCUUUCUCCGUCUGGAAGGUGAGUUGUUUAUUUGAGAGGUUUGGAUGAAAAUUCCUCAUAACAGUCUUAAUGUACUUAGAUUGCAGUGUUUAUUAUGAUUUGAAGUGAAUCUAAAAUUCCUCUUCGUGUUUUGGGUCCCUCCUUUGCUUUUACACUUUAAAGCCCUUGCUGCCUAAAUUCAACAACACAUAAAUAGUCUGCUUAUGUCUAUAGAUGGUCUCAAUACUCAAAGUAAAGGAAGAUACUGUUUGUUUUGGUAAAAGUCAAAUUUGGUAUUCAAAUCGAUGGUAUAUUUAUCAUGUUUAUUAUGAUCAUCAUUGUUGUACAUGUUUAUAAAAUGAUAAAUCCUUGGUUUAACAGACAACUUUGUUUGAUGCCACUGAUAUAGACGUAAUCCAGGAUUCACUUGGUUGGAAAUGAAAUUUGUUAAUAUGAUUGUGGAAAUAAAGUUUGAUUGAAAUCGGUAAGGUUCUAAAGUUUGAUUGAAAUCAGUAAGGUUCGAAAGUUUGAAGCUGUAGUAGAAAGGAAAAGAAGAGGGAUUGAAAUCGGUAAGGUUCUAAAGUUUGAAGCUUUCAUUUGGUUAGAUUUUGGGGGUUGCGUUUUUGUUGUUUUUUGCUGGAAUUGGGUUUUGGGUUUGAUUUGUUGUUUGGUUGUCUUUCGCAGUUCUAAAUAUUGUUCACUUAAAUAUCUAGGAAAGAAGAAUAAGGAUUGAAAUCGACGAACAGAUGAAUUAGCUAGAUUUUGACCGGAAACCGGAAACCUCACUACCAUGUUGACAGUAGAUUGCACGUUGGAUUCCACACAAAUUUGAUAUCCGGAACCAGUUUCUAUAUAAACGGUGCUUUAAGAUGAACACCUACCGUCUCUAAUCCAUCUUCUGUCUAAUAUACAAUAUUCAUAAGCAUCCCUAGGCUAAUUAAAAGCUCUAUACAUGUAUGAAUGCAUCUUCAGUUUAAUUAAAAUUAAAAGUCCCCGUGAUUCUUCCUUAAUGAUCAGCUAAUUUCGUACCAUUAAACUGUUAAUUAUUGUGCUUCAACGUCUAACUAAUGUAAAAAUAGAGGCAUGGUGUUCAAUUGCAGCAAAGUAGUAUACUCCCCUCAUUUGCCAGUAACUAAUGUUCUGUUGUGUUUUAUCAUUGCACUGUUUCUAAUUACCAAUCGCACAAAUGUCCAAGGAUGUGGUGCUUUUCCGACUAUAAACUCUGAUCUUUUUCUUUUUUCAAUCAAAUUACUUUUCCUUGAUACAGAAGCUUCUGCAGAACUGUGGUUAAUUGAACUUUAGUUGUUUAUCUGCAUUUGCUUUUCAAUCCACAUAUAAUCGCGUCAUUCCAUUCAUGUUCCCCUUACCUUCUUCUCUAAACUAUUUUACUUCUAUGAAUAAGAAACGUUAACCUCAAAUAUAAUAAUGCUAUUCUUACUAAUUCUUCAAAUAUU